GACGAACGCUGUCGGCGUGCUUAACACAUGCAAGUCGAACGGAAAGGCCCUGCUUUUGUGGGGUGCUCGAGUGGCGAACGGGUGAGUAACACGUGAGUAACCUGCCCUUGACUUUGGGAUAACUUCAGGAAACUGGGGCUAAUACCGGAUAGGAGCUCCUGCUGCAUGGUGGGGGUCGGAAAGUUUCGGCGGUUGGGGAUGGACUCGCGGCUUAUCAGCUUGUUGGUGGGGUAGUGGCUUACCAAGGCUCUGACGGGUAGCCGGCCUGAGAGGGUGACCGGCCACAUUGGGACUGAGAUACGGCCCAGACUCCUACGGGAGGCAGCAGUGGGGAAUAUUGCACAAUGGGCGGAAGCCUGAUGCAGCAACGCCGCGUGCGGGAUGACGGCCUUCGGGUUGUAAACCGCUUUCGCCUGUGACGAAGCGUGAGUGACGGUAAUGGGUAAAGAAGCACCGGCUAACUACGUG
rnacentral:rRNA from 1 species